CCGAGACAGUAUGAAGCCUCCAGCACCAGGGAUGUGGUUUGAGGCAAAGGGACGGAGGUUGUGACAACCAGAAAACUGAAAACGGAAUGCUAACACUUUGCCUGCGCAAAGGCGCUUGAAAGACCACUGAACAUCUGACUGAUAACUGUCCUGGACCAACCUACAGCUAAGAAUGCAGGGCUGAUUCAUCUUAAGGUCCCAGACAGUUAACCGAGAAGGGUAGAGGGAAAAUAUUUAUUCUUCUUCUACAUUAGAAUCAGCAAUUUUCCAGAUUCCACAUGCAGGCUACAGGAGGAAGCCAGAAUCCUGAAGUAUAGCAAUGGACUGCAUCUUGAAACACGUGCCAAGCCAGCCAGAUGCUGGGACAGAAACUCUGGACAGUGGCCUCUAUCCUGGGCCUGCUGAAAACAAGAUUAGAUCUUUUCCAUGGCAAGACAAAUGAAAUGGUGCAUUGGGAAGUCAGAAGAGAAACCUCCUUAAUUUUAUAUUAUCAAUAAAGUUCACCACAGA